AGGGUGCGAAGGGCCUGUGCCAGAAGAAAACACACAGGGAAACUGCUUUUUUUUUAAAUCAAGUGUAGAGAAUAGUCAUUUUUAAACUGAAUUAGAGAAUUGUGAUCAAAUGGCAGUCCUCAAAGGCGUAACAAGUUCAUCUUUCUUUCACCAUAGGGGUUAUAGUUCUUUGGCUUGUGCUACUCUGGAUUCAUUUUACUGUUUGUUUUUAAUUAUCUUAAGUGC
rnacentral:lncRNA from 1 species